GUAUCAAUAAGCGGAGGAAAAGAAACCAACAGGGAUUGCCUCAGUAACGGCGAGUGAAGCGGCAACAGCUCAAAUUUGAAAUCUGGCCUUACGGUCCGAGUUGUAAUUUGGAGAGGAUGUUUCGGGUACCGCUGUGGUCUAAAUUUCUUAGAACAGGAUGUCAGAGAGGGUGAGAAUCCCGUCUGCGACCGCGGCAGGGCCUAUGUGAAACUCCUUCGACGAGUCGAGUUGUUUGGGAAUGCAGCUCAAAAUGGGUGGUAAAUUUCAUCUAAAGCUAAAUAUUGGCGAGAGACCGAUAGCGCACAAGUA
rnacentral:rRNA from 1 species